UGUGUGUGUGUGUGUGUGUGUGUGUGUGUGUGUGUGUGUGGUUGCUGCAGCCUACAGGAGGUAUCUACGCCAGACUGGAAGCGCAAUUUAAGAGUGUCGCUCAAGCCAGACAGAGUUCAGAGAAGACACCCAGAUCUAAAAUACGCUACGCUCAGAUCCGGACCACAUAAAGGACCCGAUGGGGAAAAGGCUGCUGAGCUGUCUAAGAGACGGACAUGAAAACUGACUGAGAGAGAACGAAGAGGAAGAGGAGAGAUCCUUCCGCGAGGGCUCAGUGCAACAACAUAAAUUCCCGCUGGCACCCCCUCCCACCCUUAAAGCACGGCCUCCACUCAUAUAACCCAGCUGUGGACUCCUCACCCUCGCAUUCUUUGUCAGCCCCCCUCCCUCCCUCUGGGCUUCACUCAGGUGACUUCGUUAUUGAUCACCAUCAGCCCGUCACUCAGCUAGCUCCUUAUUUGUGCAGCUGUGGUCAGUCCUGGAAAACAAACAAGAGGUCUGGAUCCAGCUCAGCACGAAGGGAAAUGCACUCGAUCAAACUUCUCCGUGUGUGUUUAGGAUUUAGUGUUGGAGCUCGGCCAGUUUCUGCAAAGGACAACAUGGGAAAUGCUAGUUUAUUAUUUUCUGUCGUCUUCCUGGAAGAUCUGAAUGAUUCGGAUCCAGUAAUCACCAACAGUGAUGCCGAAGGCCGGAUAGGGAAUGACACGCUCACCGCUUCGACGCGGCUUGUUUAGGUUAAGACGCCGAUCUAGACACAUACGAGUUGACUCUGCACUCGCAUUUAUGGUCUUCUGGGCAGAUGACAGACGCUGCGGUGUGUUGGGGGGGGGGGGGGGGGGGGGCUGGGCUCUCAACUAUCAACUUGGCCCAGUUUGACCGCAACCUGUCAGCCGACCCUUUGCUCCAACUUAGAUGAUGUCAAAGAAUUUAACGGGGGUGGAAUAAAAAAUGUAAAUGCUGA